ensembl:lncRNA
CUCCUCGACCCUUGUUUUCUGCCCAGCUAGGCUGUGCCAUGGUCUGCCCCCCCCCCCCUUCUCCCCCCCUACCCCCCAUCCAGCCUUUGGGUCGUCCACUCUGAGGCCUACGCGAGGCCUCCCCCCCGGACUUCAAAUGACCCCUUUGUAACCUUUAGGUUUUUACCCUUUCACCUUAACUCUCGCUUUGCUUUUUACACUUCUUGGGUUCCAGGGUUGGUCUGACUUUUCUCUGAUUUCCUUUGCUGCUCGUGUGUUUUGUCGACAACCUGGGGCGUCGUUGUUUUUUUCCCACUGAUCUAUUUUUGAGAUACCUUACCCGUUACACGCCUCCAUUGUUCUGCACUUUUAAGACACCAUCAUUUCACAGUUCAACUGUACGUUUCCUUGAUACUCUGUUGCCUGGUUGCAGAACAGAAAGGAAUUAGACCGCAACUCGCCCAGCAAAUAAUGAGGCGAGCGCUUCUAAACUGUAUGGAACGAGUGCAUUUUCAAUUAGAGACUCGUAUAUUCGACUUAUUUUAAUUUUUAGCUUUAGCAAGGAUUGGCCCGUUCAAAUCCCAUCCAUGAUCUAUGCCGUCGUUCUGUCGCCCGCUUCGCCCAUGAGGUAAACAAGGAGAUCCCGUUGCAUCACAUCACAUUUCACACAUCGCAUGACACCGCACCACGCAUUCAGCGUCACCCACAGACCUCAGAGCCUCCGAGGGACAGACCCCAGCCAGCUGUGUCCCCACACCCAGCACUUGUCAUCGUCAGGGUGCAGGAACCGCACGUUUGUUGCACUUGCUGUCACGUGGAUGAAUCUCCGCGUCUAUUCUCGUCUGCCUGAGUGGCCUGUCUGUCUGGCGGCCAUUCUGAACGCGUCCUCUGAUGAGCGCGUCGAUGUGAAGUGGCGGCGAGGAAGGGUCCUCAAUGGGCCGUAUGGAUCGGCUCUGAUAUAUUCCGUCGCAUUUCCCACCUGCCGUAGAUCCAUAUCUCCUCGAUUCAGUCGUUCCUCACUUGAUAGUCACUUCGCCAAUUAGAGAGCACGCGGGAGAGCCCACCGAGACUGACGGGAGGAGGGAGAUAGCGAGGGGGAGACGGGGAGAGAGAGAGAGAGAGAGAGAGAGAGAGAGAGAGAGAGAGAGAGAGAGAGAGAGAGAGAGAGAGAGAGAGAGAGAGAGAGAGAGAGAGAGAGAGAGAGAGAGAGAGAGAGAGAGAGAGAGAGAGUGCGCAGGAUACCGUUGAGGCAGCCCUGAGACAUGAACAGGCCUGUGUGAUGCGGUUCUUUGGAAACGAGACUGUGUCCAUAAUGAGUCCUCUAAACCUGCGCGGGGAUGACAUUGGGCUAGGAGGCGUGGGUGCGUGCGUGGGCCCCCCAGCGCUGCGCCCCACGCGCUGAGCAGAUGCCAGAGACUAGCAGGGACAUCGCUUGGGCCGUGUCCCAAGACUGUGUGAAUUGGCAUGGGGACAAAUUUGAAAAAGGCGGGAGGGGGGGUUGGGGACAGAGCCAGGAUUCCAUCUGUCGGAUGUGUUUGUGUGUUUGUGGGCAUUUGUGUGUGUGUGUGUGUGUGUGUGUGUGUGUGUAUGUCUGCACGUAUGUUUUUGUGUGUGUGUGAGGGGAUGCUGGUCACUGUGUAUGCAUCCACCUGGAUGAUCGUUUGACAGAGAUUAAGAGAGUUUUUGGAACUGACUCAAUCUCGCCCCCCUCCCCCCUUCUCACUCACAGUUGUUCACACCUGUGUUGGUUCCCUGUUGCGCACCCUGAACAUGAAGAUGGUCUGCUUGACCCCCAUAUCUACCCACAUCUAUGCCCCUCACUACACAUCCUCCACCCCUGGUACUCCUGGGUUAAAUGUCUCUCUCUCCCCCUACACAUCAACCCCGUGGUACUAAUGGAUCUCUCUUUCGGCCAAAGCCAAACUGUUUUGUCGUCCCUUUUGGAUGCAGAACCAAGAGAUGUUAGACUGACUAGGUCAAGACCUUUCGUGCGGAUCGAUAUCAGAAAAACAUCACCGCUUGUAACAGUCGGUUUUAACGAAUAUACGUUAUUUUAUUUUAUUUUAUCUCUCUCUCUCUCUCUCUUUUUUUAACAACCUUCUUCACGGCGGUCAUCCCCUUGUGUGUCCCCGUGCGAGUCCUCACCGACUAAUCAGUGGAUAAAAGGAUACGCUUAAAGAAGGGAAGGGACCGAAAGGGGAAUGACACUGGCCCAUCAGUUUAAUGAAUCCGACGUGAUGAAUAAUGAAUGCAUGGUGUCAUCCCUGGAACCUCGGAGCGGGUGCCUGCAUGACAGGGCCAGGGUGUCAUCCUGACGGACGGCCCAGGGAAGGCUUAAUUUGACGGACAGGAUGCCUUAAGACCUGUCACAGCUUUCAGAUACGUCAUAUUUGAUCGGAUGUCAUUCUGCCACGGGCUCUCUCUAUCUCCCUCUCUCUCUCUCUCUCUCUCCUCCCAUAUGUGAUGGGUGGGAUAGAUUCAUCCUCAGGCUAAAUCACAGCUAAUUCACACAGACACAGGUAUGUGUGUGUGUGUGUGUGUGUGUGUGAGUUUGUGUGUGUCCGGUCUGUGUGACAGUGCAACAAUAAGGUCUGUUACCUAUGCAGGAGUCAACAUGGUAGCGAUGGUGGUAACAGGCUCCCAAAGAGCAUGAACCACAUGAACCCGACCUUUGACCCCAACAUGUACAGACACAAGCUGGACGAAGUAAGGAUUGAUUGGAAGGAAUUGCUACAGAUGCUUCAGCUGUACAUGCCCUGUGUGUGUGUGUGUGUGUGUGUGUGUGUGUGUGUGUGUGUGUGUGUGUGUGUGUGUGUGUGUGUGUGUGUGUGUGUGUGUGUGUGUGUGUGUGUGUGUGUGUGUGUGUGUGUGUGUGCACUGUGAAGGAUUGUUUCCUUGUUCAGCACAGUGUGAUGUAUGGCAGUAUGUAAGGUGUUUGCAUUUCCCUUUGUCUCUAUCUCUCCAGUCCACGGGACGUGCACACAAUCACACAGGAACAAUUUCACUGCUCAGUGCUUUGAAAGACACUGAGGGAAUGACAAACCCGCUACCACUCGGUCAUCCACAGUCAACACUGUUCUACACGUGCGCUCGCGAUGUGGACAGUUCUAUCUGGUCCGCUCCUCUCUCGCUCUCUUGCUCUCCAUCUCCUUCUUUGUAGCUCUCUCUUGCCUCUCUCGCUCUCUCACUCUCUCUACCUCUCAAACUCUAUCUCUGUCCCCCUCUCUCUCCCUCCCUCCCUCUUUCCUUCUCUCUCACCCUCUCUUGCUCUCUCUCUCUUCACCUUGCUCUCAAUCCUUGACCUACCUUCCUCCCCCUGUCUCUCUCUGUCCCCCUCAUGCUCUCCCUCUAUCCCACCCUCCCCUUCCUCUCUCUCCCUCCCUCCCUCCCUCCCGUUCCUUUCUCUCCCUCCCUCCCCUUCCUCUCUCUCUCUCUCUCUCUCACCCUCCUUAUCUUGCUCUCUCUCUCAUUUAUUCCUUUGCUCCCACAUUCUCUCCUUUCCUCCCUUUUCAUCUCUCUCUCUCCCUCCAUAUCUUACUCUCUCGAUUUUAUUAUCUUGCUCCCUCUUCCCCUCUCUCUCUCUCUCUCGCUCUCGCUCUCGCUCUCGCUCUCGCUCUCUCUCUCGCUCUCUCUCUCUCUCUCUCUUCUCUCUGCCUCCAGGCCAUGGAGACUGCGAGAGAUCAGGCAGAUUAAUUGUGAGUCUCCAUCAUCAAGAUGAGCUAAACAGCGGUAGCCUCCAGCAGAUGCGGUGAUGGGCUCUGCACUAAACAGACCGUCAUCCUGGCCACUCGCUGGCUGGCCUCUAGGCUGGCUAAAACCUUAACAUCUUCACAAGUCCCACAAAUCUGGCUUUAGUUUAGUAAUUCAAAGUCUGAUAGAAGAUGAGCUCAGGUCCGGGUGACGUGGACGUUUUAUUUUACUUUGCUUCGUAUUUAUCUCGACGACCGAUCAUCUUGCUGGAGGAGGGAAAAUGUAGGCGUGUAACUGGAUGUUAACAACGGACAACACCUUAGCCAACAGGACACUGUUAUUAAUAGUGUCUUUAAAGGUUUCAAAUAAACAUUGUGUAGACUGGCCACUAUAGAAAAUAGGGGGGGAGAGGCAUAAGCAGGUUUCUCCAACGUCGGGAGGGGAAUGGUAAGAAUUUUGAAUCCGACUUUUGAUAAUAUUAUGCCCACUGUUUUGAGCAAGGGUAAGAGAGAUAAAAGAGAGGCAAACAGGCCGAUCGUUUUAAUCAUCCCCUAAGGAACUACAUGAGGAAUGAGAGGACGAAAGAGACAGAGAGAGGGAGAGAGCCACGAUUGUGAUUGUUUUGUGUUCCUUAUUUAAGACGCAAUGGCACACGCCGUGCCACUGUUGAGUCGACGGGUAUGCGAGUAUUUAGCUACUCACACACAACACGCAUUUAGCUACUCACACACAACACGCCCAUUGUUUUGUAUCUUCAACGACACCUUUGGAAAAAAAAAAAAGGGAUCAAUUCUAACAUGAGUGUCAUCAGCAUAUAACCUUCUGCCAAUGACAAAUUGAUAAGAGUGUGGCUGGGCCGAGGCUGUUGGGUGCGACACCACCACACAGAGCACCUAUUGAUUUCAUGAUGGCAUUGUCCGUCUUGAGCUCCCCUUAGGAUUGUCUAGGACAUCGAUGAUAGUAUUGAUAAUCGACGAAUGAACGCCCACCUUAUAGGGUCACUUUGGUUUAGGAUUUCGUGUUGUGGCCUGAACAUGCCUCUAAACAUGUUGUCAUAUUAGGAUUGUAUUGACUUAUGAGACCUUCUGGUUUUACGUCAUAUAAAACACAGUAAACAUUUCCAGGGACGACCUGGCCAAAUGAUGCUCAUGCCUGUAGGAAGAGUGGAUUUCAAGUUAAACUCAGCAUAUUAAAACAAAUAUAUACAUAUGCAGACGGUAAAUAUCGCAUGGAAACGGCAAAUGGAACAAUACUAAUGUGAGAAUCCUACACAGUACUCCUUAAAACAAAUAACAAAAGAACCUCCUCUAACGCAGUUUCCCUCUGCCCAUUUGCAAUUAUUUUCAGUUGGUUAUCUAAGAACAUGUUUGGUUCCUUGCGGAUAUACUUUUGGCAUCACGCGAAACUAUAUACGAUUGUUUGCUUUGUUUGUUUCACUGCACUAUUUAAGAUUUACUACAUCUUAAAUACAUUUACACACUUUUACGAGAUAUAUAAUUUGGAGUGUUGAAUUGUGUGUGGGUGUGUGUGUUCCAGUAUCAUUCAUCUUAAACAUGUAACCCUAGAGAUCUUUGUAGAACAUCACAUUUCACUGAGAUAUUGGGUCGACAUUGGAUCCAUACACAGAAGCGCCUCUGUAACCCUGGAAUAUGGGGACGGAUCGCGGUACACCACAGACAAUAGGACGAUGAUGAACGACAUAAUAAAGACCGAGAGCAGAACUUAGACCAACAAAAAGUGCUUCUCCUUUUUUCCCCCGUUUACGUGAUGUAAAUACUACUCGUGUUUUUUUUUUUUUUUAUCCUUUUAAAACUUUGGGUGUACUAAUUGCUUAGCCUUUACGGACCAUAUUAAUACAGCCUCUGUAAAUAUACCUCCCACUCUCCCACCUCCCUCUCUCUCUCUGUAUCUCUCGGUCUCUCCCUUCAUCGCUCCUUACUCGCCUCUUCCCCUUUUUCUAUCCGAUGCUCAACACGACUCUCCCACACGGCUGUAGACAGGUUGAAACUGUUCGUUCACUUGGGCUGUGAACCUGGCCCGCUCAACCUCUUAACAUGCCCUUUUCCGCUGUGUGAAUCUGGUCCUGACGUUAUUUACGUGUACUUCUUGAUGUAUGUUCUUAUCAAUUCCAGUCCUGUCAUAGUAUUUUAUUCUUUAUGAUACAAAUGAUCAUUAAAGAAAACCUUUGAUUGGAUCCUUCA